GAUGAACGCUGGCGGCGCGCCUAAUACAUGCAAGUCGAGCGGACAGACGAGGAGCUUGCUCCGCUGACGUUAGCGGAGGGCGGGUGAGUAACGCGUGGAUAACCUCCCUAUCAGAGGGGGAUAACUUCGGGAAACCGGCGCUAAUCCCGGAUAAGAUAUUGAACCGCGUGGGUCAAUAGUGAGAUACGGUGUUGCUGUCUCGUAUAGCUGGAUCCGCGCCGUAUUAGCUAGUUGGUAAGGUAACGGGCUACUAAGGCAACGAGGCGUAACCGACCGGAGAGGGUGAUAGGCCACCCUGGAACUGAGACGCGCACCAUGCGCCUGCGGGAGGCAGCAGUCGGCAACCGGCCGCAAUGGGCGAAAGCCUUACGGAGCAAGGCGGCGUGAGUGAUGAAGGUCUUCGGAGCGUAAAGCUCUGUUAUUAGUGAAGAACAAAUGUGGAAUGAAAUAUGCACGGCGUGACGGUACCUAAUCAGAAAGCCACGGCUAACUACGUG
rnacentral:rRNA from 1 species